GAUGAACGCUGGCGGCGUGCUUAAUACAUGCAAGUCGAACGAAGAAGCUCAGCUCUCGGGGCGGUGUCGUUAGCGACGGGUGGGUGACACACAAGUAAAUUACCCAUCUCUAUGGCUUAGGUAUCGGAAACUGAGCGUAAUACAUACUAGGAGCUUCCUCCGCCCGGUGGGUUUUGGAAAGAUUGAUCGGUUUUGGAUCGACUCUCGGCCUAUCCGCUUCUUGGUGAGUGAUUGGCUAACUAAGGCGAUGCCGGGUCGCCGGCCUGAGAGGGUGAACGGCGACACUGGGACUGAGAGACGGACCAGACUCCUACGGGAGGCAGCAGUCGGGAACAUUGCGCAACGGGCGCAAGCCAGAGGCAGCGACGCCGCGUGAGGAAUGACGGCCUUCUGGUUAUGAACCUCUUUCAGUAGGGAAAAAGCCGAAGUGACGGUACCUGCAGAAGAAGCACCGGCUAACCACGUG
rnacentral:rRNA from 1 species